CCUACGGGUGGCAGCAGUGGGGAAUAUUGGACAAUGGGCGCAAGCCUGAUCCAGCAAUGCCGCGUGUGUGAAGAAGGCCUGCGGGUUGUAAAGCACUUUGAGUGGGGAAGAAGGCCUGGGGGUUAAUAGCUUCUGGGAUUGACGUUACCCACAGAACAAGCACCGGCUAACUCCGUGCCAGCAGCCGCGGUAAUACGGAGGGUGCGGGCGUUAAUCGGAAUUGUAGGGCGUAGAACGCGCGUGGGCGGUAAGCCCUGGGCUUAACCUGGGAACUGCAUUGGAUACUGUUUGACUGGAGUGUGGUAGAGGGGUGUGGAAUUUCCGGUGUAGCAGUGAAAUGCGUAGAGAUCGGAAGGAACACCAGUGGCGAGGGCGGCACCCUGGACCGACACUGACGCUGAGGUGCGAAAGCGUGGGGAGCAAACAGGAUUAGAUACCCCAGUAGUC
rnacentral:rRNA from 1 species